rnacentral:rRNA from 1 species
UACGUAGGGGGCGAGCGUUGUCCGGAUUUAUUGGGCGUAAAGAGCGUGUAGGCGGUUCGGUAAGUCUGUCGUGAAAUCCUGAGGCUCAACCUCGGGCGUGCGAUGGAUACUGCCGGGCUAGAGGAUGGUAGAGGCGAGUGGAAUUCCCGGUGUAGCGGUGAAAUGCGCAGAUAUCAGGAGGAACACCAAUGGCGAAGGCAGCUCGCUGGGACGUGACUGACGCUGAGACGCGAAAGCGUGGGGAGCAAACAGG